rnacentral:rRNA from 1 species
AACGAACGCUGGCGGCAGGCCUAACACAUGCAAGUCGAGCGCCCCGCAAGGGGAGCGGCAGACGGGUGAGUAACGCGUGGGAAUCUACCCAUCCCUACGGAACAACACAGGGAAACUUGUGCUAAUACCGUAUGUGCCCUUCGGGGGAAAGAUUUAUCGCCUUUGGAGCAGCCCGCGUUGGAUUAGCUAGUUGGUGAGGUAAAGGCUCACCAAGGCGACGAUCCAUAGCUGGUCUGAGAGGAUGAUCAGCCACACUGGGACUGAGACACGGCCCAGACUCCUACGGGAGGCAGCAGUAGGGAAUCUUGCGCAAUGGGCGAAAGCCUGACGCAGCCAUGCCGCGUGUAUGAUGAAGGUCUUAGGAUUGUAAAAUACUUUCACCGGGGAAGAUAAUGACGGUACCCGGAGAAGAAGCCCCGGCUAACUUCGUGCCAGCCGCCGCCGUAAUAC